rnacentral:rRNA from 1 species
AUUGAACGCUGGCGGCAUGCUUUACACAUGCAAGUCGAACGGCAGCGCGGGGCAACCUGGCGGCGAGUGGCGAACGGGUGAGUAAUAUAUCGGAACGUACCCAAGAGUGGGGGAUAACGUAGCGAAGUUACGCUAAUACCGCAUACGAUCUACGGAUGAAAGCAGGGGAGUCUUCGGACCUUGUGCUCCUGGAGCGGCCGAUAUCUGAUUAGCUAGUUGGUGAGGAAAGGCUCACCAAGGCGACGAUCAGUAGCUGGUCUGAGAGGACGACCAGCCACACUGGGACUGAGACACGGCCCAGACUCCUACGGGAGGCAGCAGUGGGGAAUUUUGGACAAUGGGCGAAAGCCUGAUCCAGCAAUGCCGCGUGAGUGAAGAAGGCUCGGUGU